rnacentral:rRNA from 1 species
AGGGAUUGCCUCAGUAACGGCGAGUGAAGCGGCAACAGCUCAAAUUUGAAAUCUGGCUCUUUCAGGGUCCGAGUUGUAAUUUGUAGAAGAUGCUUCGGGUGUGGUUCCGGUCUAAGUUCCUUGGAACAGGACGUCAUAGAGGGUGAGAAUCCCGUAUGUGACCGGCUACCUUCGCUCAUGUGAAGCUCUUUCGACGAGUCGAGUUGUUUGGGAAUGCAGCUCAAAAUGGGUGGUAAAUUUCAUCUAAAGCUAAAUAUUGGCCAGAGACCGAUAGCGCACAAGUAGAGUGAUCGAAAGAUGAAAAGCACUUUGGAAAGAGAGUUAAAUAGUACGUGAAAUUGUUGAAAGGGAAGCGCUUGCAAUCAGACUUGCACGCAGUUGAUCAUCCGGUGUUCUCACCGGUGCACUCUGCUGCGUUCAGGCCAGCAUCGGUUCUGGUGGUUGGAUAAAGGCCUUGGGAAUGUAGCUCCUUUCGGGGAGUGUUAUAGCCCUCGGUGCAAUGCAGCCUACCGGGACCGAGGACCGCGCUUCGGCUAGGAUGCUGGCGUAAUGGUUGUAAGCGACCCGUCUUGAAACACGGACCAAGGAGUCUAACAUCUAUGCGAGUGUUUGGGUGUCAAACCCAUACGCGUAAUGAAAGUGAACGGAGGUGAGAACCCUUAAGGGUGCAUCAUCGACCGAUCCUGAUGUCUUCGGAUGGAUUUGAGUAAGAGCAUAGCUGUUGGGACCCGAAAGAUGGUGAACUAUGCGUGAAUAGGGUGAAGCCAGAGGAAACUCUGGUGGAGGCUCGCAGCGGUUCUGACGUGCAAAUCGAUCGUCAAAUUUGCGCAUAGGGGCGAAAGACUAAUCG